GUCAAGGUUAAGAACUGGGUUGAUGGCAAGGAACAUGAAAGUUUAGUUGGGUUAACUGCAAGAUUUGGUGCUUCUUUGCCUACUGAAGCUCAUGAUCAUCUCAGACAACCUGCUGUUUUUUCAAAUCCCCUGAACUGCUGUUCUGAAUCUUCUUCAGAGGUUUUGUUUUGGCUUUGGGCCUCUAUUGCUUUGUCAACACGUGGGGAUUGUUCCUUAAUGGCUAAGGCAAAAGUUGCACAGUCAGGAGAUGCUGCAGCCUUGUUGGUGAUAAAUGACAAAGAAGAUAUUUACAAGAUGGUUUGUUCUGAAAAUGUUACUAUUGUAAACAUUACAAUUCCUGUCGUGCUGAUUCCAAAGUUGGGAGGAGUUACACUCAACAAAUGUAUAGCAGAUGGAAAGAAAGGUGAAUCCCUGAGUGUCAAGAUUGGUUACAAUGAAGGAUUUUUGAAGUUGAAGGUAUCCUAUGCUUAUGGUCUUAUCGGCUGGCCAUGCUUUGCAUGUUUUCAUUAACGGUCGACUGUAAGGAACUGCCUAUGGAAGUCUAGAGAACCCAAAACUAACCUUCAGUCAGGGUGUGAAGCUGAGAGCCGGUGUUAACACGAUUGCACUACUGAGCAUUGCUGUUGGUCUCCCGAAUGUUGGUCCACAUUUUGAGACGUGGAAUGCUGGUGUUCUUGGUCCGGUUUCAUUGAAUUGUCUCAAUGAGGGAAGGAGAGUCUUGUCAUGGCAGAAAUGGUCUUACAAGGUUGGUAUAAAAGGAGAAGCUUUGAGUCUUCAUUCACUUAGUGGGAAUUCCUCUGUUGAGUGGGUAGAAGGGUCUUUGAUGGCUCGGGGGCAACCUCUGACAUGGUACAAAACUACUUUCAAUGGCCCGGGUGGAAAUGCACCAUUGGCUUUAGACAUGGGCAGUAUGGGUAAAGGUCAAAUAUGGAAAAAUGGACAGAACGUGGGACGAUACUGGUCUGCAUAUAAAGCUACUGGUGGUUGUGGUGAUUGUAUGCGGGAACAUACAGCGAGAAGUAAUGCUUAAGCAACUGUGGAGAACCUGAUGGAUUGAUUAUGAAAUAGGAACAUUGGUGGAAAGUUGAAGAAAUACAAAAGCUGGGCAGUACCUGAUGAGCUUUAAGCUGUCUGGUUUGGGGUAUUUCAGGGAGUUUGUGGACUGGGUACGCUGCAUCAAGAUCCUUUAUCCUCAAGAAGUGCAGCAAAUGAGCUUGGAUGGAGAUAUUGGUAACAGUGUACUUCAGAAAGAAGCGUGUAACAGUGUACUUCUAGUAUCUCAUGGAUGAUUAGGAAAAGACAUGGACAUUCAUGUAAAGCUCAGCAUGUAUCAGUUUAUUACAGAUGGUUAAUUUCUGUUUUAUACACUGAUUUUCAAGACCCAUGACCCUCUUUCCAUUGAGAAAUGAUAUUUAAUAUUUCAAACA